rnacentral:lncRNA from 1 species
GACGCCAGGCUAGCCAGGCCCGCUGCAGCCGCCAUCGCCGCCACGCUAGACCGCUGCUGUGCGGCGGCUAUGCUGCCGGCAGAACCUCCUGCACCGGCUGCUGCUGCGGCGGCGGCAACGGCAGCCGCGCGCCUCUGCAAACUCCUUUAUAUAUGUGAUAGGACAACUCUGACUCGCCCAAGACUAUCCCGUGUACGGCACGCUACCCCCCCCCCCAGCCGUACCACUCAGAGUCGAGGGUCGCAGAUUCGCAGUCGGGUACUUAUGCAACCAGCCAUGAAGGGCCCAAUACGCAAUUUCAGGUCAUCUUCGUUAGAAGGGCAUACCGUAAUCUCACGGAUAGGCGGAUGGAUUCCUGCCAUGGUGGACUCGUUGCGCGUUGGCUUGUUCAUCCCAAGCGAGUUGGCCCGGCGUGGAGAGGCGAGGUCGAGCGGGGUCAAGCCAGGGCCCUGGGGUCAGCCGUGGGUGUGUGCGCGUGUCAACCACGCAUAGGCCGCGGCACUUGCUGCAUGUUCUGCAGGAGGCGGAUGAUGCGAGACACCGGCGUCGGUCGACACCCGAGCUGCACAUGGCAGCUAGCGCCCGGCAUUCUGUACAUGGCCGUGUGACGGCUCGGUAAAACUCCGCACCGGUCGAACACGUGUCUCCAUACCAGUACAAAUUGCCCCAUUCAGCGAGCGCGUGGGCUGCACCCUACGGGACUUCACUUACCACUGUCCCCUCGGCCAUCGCACACCCAUUCAGCGAACACGUGGGCUGCUGGGAGAGGGCGC